CGGGAGGCAGCAGUGGGGAAUAUUGCACAAUGGGCGCAAGCCUGAUGCAGCCAUGCCGCGUGUGUGAAGAAGGCCUUCGGGUUGUAAAGCACUUUCAGUUGUGAGGAAGGUGGUGUCGUUAAUAGCGGCAUCAUUUGACGUUAGCAACAGAAGAAGCACCGGCUAACUCCGUGCCAGCAGCCGCGGUAAUACGGAGGGUGCGAGCGUUAAUCGGAAUUACUGGGCGUAAAGCGCAUGCAGGCGGCCUGUUAAGUCAGAUGUGAAAGCCCGGGGCUUAACCUCGGAAUUGCAUUUGAAACUGGCAGGCUAGAGUCUUGUAGAGGGGGUAGAAUUUCAGGUGUAGCGGUGAAAUGCGUAGAGAUCUGAAGGAAUACCAGUGGCGAAGGCGGCCCCCUGGACAAAGACUGACGCUCAGAUGCGAAAGCGUGGGGAGCAAACAGGAUUAGAUACCCUGGUAG
rnacentral:rRNA from 1 species